GUGCUCACUUUGGCAGCACAUAUACUAAAAUUGGAAGAUACAGAGAUUAGCAUAGCCCCUGCGCAAGGAUGACAAAUAAUUCAAAACCAAAACUGACUCAGAU